CCCUUAGAUGUUCUGGGCCGCACGCGUGCUACACUGAGUGGAUCAGCGGGUCAGGUUGCGCGAAAGUGUUUCCUAAUCUUGAAAUCCGCUCGUGAUGGGGAUUGACGGUUGCAAUUUUCCGUCAUGAACGAGGAAUACCUUGUAAGCGCGGGUCAUCAUCCCGCGCUGAAUACGUCCCUGCCCUUUGUACACACUGCCCGUCGCUCCUACCGAUUGAGUGGUCCGGUGAGGCUUUGGGAUCUGAGCAAAGAGAGCGUUUCGCUCGUUUUGCCCGGAAAACUCAGUCGAACCUUAUCAUUUAGAGGAAGGAGAAGUCGUAACA
rnacentral:rRNA from 1 species